ACAAAAAAAAAUCUGCUCCAUUGGCCCGUCUUCUCCUCCGCCUCCAUUGUUUCUCCUCGGCUGCUUUCCAUGCCCCAGGCGACACUCCCAUUCAUGGCCGGCGACCCGUCUUCUCCUCUGCCUCCAUUGUUCAUCCUCCGCUGCUCUCCAUGCCCUAGGCGGCGCUCCCAUUCAUGGCUGACGAGCAGAAGCUUCAGCCUCCGUCACGCCCUGAGGACCGGCUCACUGCACCCUUGCCGUGAUGAUCUCAGAUGGUUGAUGCAUCAUAUGAGGAGGUGUAGUACGCACGAUGUUUUCAAGAAAGGAGGCCCGGUUGGUACUUGAGGCCGUCAAGUUGAGGAAUUACGUUGGACUGGUGGCACCACAACUUUCAAUCGAAGCCCUACUCGAGUCCGUCUCCCGUUAUUCCUGCCCCACUCCACUGGUAAAUCACCAUGCAUUGUUAAAUCCCUACUCCUCCAUCCGUUUAAUUCAUAGAACCCAUAAUAAGUCGGCUUAAUCCAUCACAUCUCAUCAACAACAACAGGCCUUUUUUCUAUCUAUCUUCAUCACUUCUCUGUGUCAGAUUAUACAUUUGGGCGAGUGGGUGAGAACCAGCUAGAAUGUGAUCUUGCCUAAAGUGGCACCAUGCAGCAAGUUUCUGUUAAACUACAUCCACAUCAACUGCCAACCAGCCAAUUUACAUUAACUGUUUACACAGGAAGCUUUACACAUGUCUUCCCGUGCGACCAUUUGUUAGACAACAAAAAUAGUUGACGAUUCCUAUGGAAUGAAUUUCGAUGUUGUAUGUUAUUUCUUCUGAGUAAACGCUAAUUGUUAGAUUAUCGCAUGGUAGUGGUAUAUAUAUCUAUUAAUUCUCUCUUUUGGGAUUACAAAAGGCUAAGUUGACAUUUUAAGUUUUACAAACUUCCUAGAUUUCUCAAAAUGAUUUCCAAUAAUGUGUAUAAUCUAUCUUUGGCAGAUCUGCAGUAAGAUUUUCAAAUUGUUGCCCAUGCAAAAUUAAGCUGGAUGUAUGGCGUACUUGAGUUAUAUAGGUUCUAUUUACAGCACAUACAUGUACUGUUUUUGAAAAGGGAUCCAAAUCUAUGUUUUAUUAUUAUUAUUAAACACCCAUAUGAAAUUUCCCUGCAAAUGUAACCAUGGAAUCCAUAUUUCCUAGGUUCGUUCCUGAUAAUAUGCUAUUUCUUUUGGAGUUCCAGUGUUUAGAUUUUAGAGAUGCUAACUUAUACAAAAACAUGUAUCAGUGUGCCCUAUUAGUGAUUUGCAUAUUUAGAGCGGGGAGGUAUAUACAUUGAUAAUGAUCCGAAUAUUGUUAGCUAAAUAUGUUUUUACGAAACUAACAGAUUUAUGGGUUCCAUUGUGCGCAGCAGAAUGUUUAGUGUACAUGCGUGACACUAUAUCUACUUUUCCAAAUAGUACUCUAGACUUUUUUUCACGAAUACGCAAAAGCCUUGCGUAUCUUUGCAUUGAUAGAUAGAGUGACAAAACAUGAAGGUAUUACAAGGUGGAGGGGAAGCUAACUAGCUCAUGCACAAUGAUGGCAAGCAUCGGUAGCCUUGGCACACGGUCGACGGGGUGUGCAGCCCGAUCUGCCGUAGCCUACGUCUCAGGCAAGAUGAGGGCCAUGCCCUUUGCGCCGGCGCGCACCCAGAGCCGCGCCUCCUCCUGGAUCAUAUGCACCGCACGUCCCACGGCUGGUUGAUCGCCGUCGAAGAGGCAGCCGUUCCGGUGUUUCCAUAGGUGCCAAACGGUGAGGACGGCAAUGGAGGCGAGGCCAUGGCGAAGAGGAGCUGAGGUGUUGGAGAUGGCCGUAGAGAGCCAGCUGGCGAACUCGUCACUGCAUGCGGGGAUCGCGGUGGUGCAUCGGCACCAUGAGAGCACCUCGUGCCAGGUUUGGCGGGAGAAGGAGCAGCCCGUCAUGAGAUGCUGCAUGGAUUCCGGCUCCUGGUCGCAUAAGAGGCAGCGAGGCUCGUGGGGAAGGCCAUGGCGUGCCAGGCGGUCAGCAGUCCAACACCUGCCCAUCAGCGCAAGCCAGACGAAGAACUUAAUGCGGAGCGGAGCCCAUGUUCUCCAAGUGAUGUGCCAGUGCGGGUCGGCGGUGGAGCCGGCGAAAAGGGCUUGAUAGCAGGAGCUGGCCGAAUAGAUCCCAGAGUCAGUCCAACGCCACGACAGCCGGUCCGGCUCGUCGGUCAGGUGCAUGUGCCGGAGACGCCGCCAUAGUGUGACGUACUGCACGGUCAUGGCCACGCCCAUGGCGCCAUGGAUGUCGGCGAUCUACGCCCGGUUGAGUAGGCCGUCGCGCAUCGAGCGUGUCCUGCGCCGGCGUUUGGGCACCCUGCAGUAGACCAGAGGCGCAAUCUCGGAGAUGCUCUUCCCGUCCAACCAGCGAUUCUCCCAGAAUAAGCAGGACUCGCCAUUGCCAACGUGCCAAGAGGUUGAAGCCCUGAAGAUGGCCUGAACCUCCGGGCAGUGGGGGAUGUGCAGGUGCUGCCAUGGGCGCGAGGCGUCGGAUCUCUGGAGCCACAUCCACCGGGCGCGCAGCGAGAUGCCGGCGUGCUGCAGAUCACUACCAUACUAUUUUUAAGUAGGUUGCAAGGAUAUAUAGUUCUUAUAUGACUUUAACUACCUCCAAUUCGCGUCAUUGAUCACAUUGUAACUGUUCCUGCUACUGCAGGUUCGACUUGAAUUUUGGCUUCUGUACGUAUAGUGUUGGUUCGCUUCUCCAUAGCUUUCUACCUCCCGGAAUCCAUCUUCCUAUUGCCACAUAAUUACGUCAUUUGUUUUUGGGAAAUCAAUGUAUAGAUACAUUGUUUCCCUCUGUAGUGCACAUGCUCUUAUAUUUGUUUUUGGACUGAUUCUUCGAUUGAUUUCAUGCUAUGCUUGGAUAACUAGAUUAUCUAAUUUGAAAUUCUCCAGUCUUUUGUAUGUUCACUUGCAUAGACGGCUUAAUCAGUUAAUCCAGAACCUAAACUGAAGACUAAAUAUAGCACAUAUACUUGGUCAUUUCUCCUAAGAAGAUUAAUCCACCUUGACUUUAACCUGACUUCCAAAGAAGUUCUGAAUGAUCAAGCAUUUUUUGGUUUUUAGUAAACUAAAAUAAUGUUGCACUCUGACAAUAAUAUUCUGAUUUUCUAAGUUAACAGAAAUCUUUCAAUUUCAUACCAGUUUUUUUAAUCGCGCAUUUGAAUGAUGGCGAUAUUAUCUAUUCUCUGAAUUCCGCUUGCAUGUUUCCAGUUGAAAUAGUAACUGAAAUUGAUAAGUAUGCAACGAUUUAUGUCCUCCAGCAUGAGUAAAAUGUUGUGGGUUACCAUUUCAGAUAAGUAACCACUAUAUUAUUUUCUAUGUGUAUAAUUGACAUGUAUACAUGUUGUCGCUCUGCUUGAACCAUCCAUCUCCACAUUACGCCCGAGACUUCCAUCGCAAUAAUCUAUAUGUAUCCAGGUAGUGUCCAAUAUGUAUACACAAGCUCCUCUCACAGGCCGACUAUGCUGAUUGUGACUGAGCGUGUGUGUGUGGCCGUGAUGUAAGCUUUAUCUUGGCCUGAGUAUCAGUUCCCUUUUAUGAUACAAUUUUGGAUGCUAUUUUAUUCUACAUGUAUAGGUUUCUACAGGUUCCAUUGGCUGCUACCUUUUAGUGAUACGGCAGCUGAAUGGCAUGCUCACCAGUAAUUCUGUCAAAAUGAAAUCGACUAGACUGCAUUUUUUAUGUGUGUUACUAAGUACAAUCUGUGAUUAUUUUCUUUCUAGGGAUGGCAAUUUUCUAGGCAUUAAGCUUUUUGAGACGUUAUGGUCUCUCAUAAUUAAUUAGCCUUUGUAAGGUGUAUACUGACAGUAAGCCCAUUGCAGUAAUUGGUUGGAUAAUUCUUUGACAUGUUAUAUUCAAAUGUCUUCUUAAAUUAGUGUCGGAUGACCCCUUCAUCGAUUACUUUUUUGGAUAUGAAUUAUUACCAUAAGAAGUGCUCCCUCUGUAAAGAAAUAUAACAGUGUUUAGAUUACUACUUUAGUUAUCUAAACACUCUUAUAUUUCUUUAUGGAGGGAGUAUAUUGGUUCUUCAGUGUUUCAUUCUUACAGUACACAAAUUAUAUUGUUUUACGUUGGUCAUUUCUCACUCUGCAGUCUGUAUCUUUUGCUUCAUAAUUCAUCUGUACACAAGAUUGAUGCCCAGAAGUUUCAGCCUUCCGUGCUAAAUGCCAUUCUUUUUUGACUUGAUAAACACCAGGUAACAUGGAGUCUUCUCAUUUGUAAUGGCAUAGAUAUAGGAACGAGCAAUUCACCUUUGCUUUAAGAAAGCGACACACAAAAGAGAACUAGAUAUUGUUGUUGAGAACUAGCUCUGGUCACAUGAUCAUCUAUGUAUAUAGUUUUCAACAAAAGAGAACUGGAUUAUUGUUACUGAGGGCUA